UGGGAUUGGUACCACUGCAUUUGUGG
rnacentral:misc_RNA from 1 species